rnacentral:rRNA from 1 species
GAUUAACGCUAGCGGCAGGCAUAAUACAUGCAAGUUGAACGGCAGCACAGGUAGCAAUACUGGGUGGCGAGUGGCGCACGGGUGCGUAACACGUAUGCAACCUACCCUAUACAGGCGAAUAACCUUUAGAAAUGAGGGCUAAUACGCCGUAGUAUUACAGAUGGGCAUCUAUUUGUAAUUAAAGAUUUAUCGGUAUAGGAUGGGCAUGCGUCCCAUUAGUUAGUUGGUAAGGUAACGGCUUACCAAGACGAUGAUGGGUAGGGGAUCUGAGAGGACUUACCCCCACACUGGUACUGAGACACGGACCAGACUCCUACGGGAGGCAGCAGUAAGGAAUAUUGGGCAAUGGCCGCGAGGCUGACCCAGCCAUGCCGCGUGCAGGAAGACGGCCUUAUGGGUUGUAAACUGCUUUUAUACGGGAAUAAUAGAGUGUACGCGUACAUUUAUGCAAGUAUCGUAUGAAUAAGCAUCGGCUAACUCCGU